rnacentral:rRNA from 1 species
UACGGGGGGAGCAAGCGUUGUUCGGAUUUACUGGGCGUAAAGGGUGCGUAGGCGGUCAGCACAAGUCAGUUGUGAAAUCUCCGGGCUUAACUCGGAAAGGUCAACUGAUACUGUGCGACUAGAGUGCGGAAGGGGCAACUGGAAUUCUCGGUGUAGCGGUGAAAUGCGUAGAUAUCCGGAGGAACACCGGUGGCGAAGGCGGCUUCCUGGACCGACACUGACGCUGAGGCGCGAAAGCUAGGGGAGCAAACGGG